rnacentral:rRNA from 1 species
GACAGAGGGUGCAAACGUUGUUCGGAAUUACUGGGCGUAAAGGGCUCGUAGGUGGCCAACUAAGUCAGACGUGAAAUCCCUCGGCUUAACCGGGGAACUGCGUCUGAUACUGGAUGGCUAGAGUUUGGGAGAGGGAUGCGGAAUUCCAGGUGUAGCGGUGAAAUGCGUAGAUAUCAGGAGGAACACCGGUGGCGAAGGCGGUUCUCUGGGCAUGUCCUGACGCUGAGGAGCGAAAGUGUGGGGAGCGAACAGG